rnacentral:rRNA from 1 species
AUAUGCCUUAUGGUGGGGGACAACAGUUGGAAACGACUGCUAAUACCGCAUAAUGUCUACGGACCAAAGGGGGGGAUCUUCGGACCUCUCGCCAUUUGAUUAGCCCAAGUGAGAUUAGCUAGUUGGUAAGGUAAUGGCUUACCAAGGCGACGAUCUCUAGCUGGUUUGAGAGGAUGAUCAGCCACACUGGGACUGAGACACGGCCCAGACUCCUACGGGAGGCAGCAGUGGGGAAUAUUGCACAAUGGGCGAAAGCCUGAUGCAGCCAUGCCGCGUGUGUGAAGAAGGCCUUCGGGUUGUAAAGCACCUUCAGUAAGGAGGAAAGGGGAGUAGUUAAUAGCUGCUUUCUGUGACGUUACUUACAGAAGAAGCACCGGCUAACUUCGUGCCAGCAGCCGCGGUAAUACGAGGGGUGCAAGCGUUAAUCGGAAUUACUGGGCGUAAAGCGUUCGUAGGCGGUUGAAUAAGCAAGAUGUGAAAGCCCAGGGCCCAACCUUGGAACUGCAUUUUGAACUGUUCGACUAGAGUACUGUAGAGGGUGGUGGAAUUUCCAGUGUAGCGGUGAAAUGCGUAGAGAUUGGAAGGAACAUCAGUGGCGAAGGCGGCCACCUGGACAGAUACUGACGCUGAGAACCGAAAGCGUGGGGAGCGAACAG